rnacentral:rRNA from 1 species
UACGAAGGGGGCUAGCGUUGCUCGGAAUCACUGGCGUAAAGGGUGCGUAGGCGGGUCUUUAAGUCAGGGGUGAAAUCCUGGAGCUCAACUCCAGAACUGCCUUUGAUACUGAGGAUCUUGAGUUCGGGAGAGGUGAGUGGAACUGCGAGUGUAGAGGUGAAAUUCGUAGAUAUUCGCAAGAACACCAGUGGCGAAGGCGGCUCACUGGCCCGAUACUGACGCUGAGGCACGAAAGCGUGGGGAGCAAACAGG